rnacentral:rRNA from 1 species
GACGAACGCUGGCGGCGUGCUUAACACAUGCAAGUCGAGCGGUAAGGCCCUUCGGGGUACACGAGCGGCGAACGGGUGAGUAACACGUGGGUGACCUGCCCCCUACUCUGGGAUAAGCCUGGGAAACUGGGUCUAAUACCGGAUAUGACUACAUGUCGCAUGGUGUGUGGUGGAAAGUUUUUUCGGUGGGGGAUGGGCCCGCGGCCUAUCAGCUUGUUGGUGGGGUGAUGGCCUACCAAGGCGACGACGG